UGGGGAAUAUUGGACAAUGGGCGCAAGCCUGAUCCAGCAAUGCCGCGUGUGUGAAGAAGGCCUUCGGGUUGUAAAGCACUUUUAUCAGGAGCGAAACGCUGUCGGCUAAUACCCGGCGGAACUGACGGUACCUGAGGAAUAAGCACCGGCUAACUUCGUGCCAGCAGCCGCGGUAAUACGAAGGGUGCAAGCGUUAAUCGGAAUUACUGGGCGUAAAGCGUGCGUAGGCGGUUUCUUAAGUCUGCUGUGAAAUCCCCGGGCUCAACCUGGGAAUGGCAGUGGAUACUGGGAGGCUAGAGUGUGUCAGAGGGUGGUGGAAUUCCCGGUGUAGCGGUGAAAUGCGUAGAGAUCGGGAGGAACAUCAGUGGCGAAGGCGGCCACCUGGGACAACACUGACGCUGAGGCACGAAAGCGUGGGGGAGCAAACAGGGUUAGGAUACCCUGGUAGUCCACGCCCUAAACGAUGCGAACUGGAUGUUGGUCUCAACUCGGAGAUCAGUGUCGAAGCUAACGCGUUAAGUUCGCCGCCUGGGGAGUACGGUCGCAAGACUGAAACUCAAAUGAAUUGACGGGGUCAU
rnacentral:rRNA from 1 species